rnacentral:rRNA from 1 species
CAGGAAGAGCUUGCUCUUCGCUGACGAGUGGCGGACGGGUGCGUAACACGUAUGCAACAUACCCUUUACAGGGGGAUAGCCCAGAGAAAUCUGGAUUAAUACCCCAUAAUAUCAUGGAUUCGCAUGUUUCUAUGAUUAAAACUUCGGUGGUAAAGGAUUGGCAUGCGGCCCAUUAGUUUGUUGGUGAGGUAAUGGCUCACCAAGACUACGAUGGGUAGGGGGUCUGAGAGGAUGAUCCCCCACACUGGUACUGAGACACGGACCAGACUCCUACGGGAGGCAGCAGUGAGGAAUAUUGGUCAAUGGACGAAAGUCUGAACCAGCCAUACCGCGUGCAGGAAGACAGCCCUAUGGGUCGUAAACUGCUUUUGUUUGCCAAGAAACCUCCCCACGUGUGGGGAGCUGACGGUAGCAUUCGAAUAAGGACCGGCUAACUCCGUGCCAGCAGCCGCGGUAAUACGGAGGGUCCAAGCGUUAUCCGGAUUUAUUGGGUUUAAAGGGUUCGUAGGCGGAAAGAUAAGUCAGUGGUGAAAGCCUGUGGCUCAACCAUAGAAUUGCCAUUGAUACUGUCUUUCUUGAGUACACAUGAAGUGGGCGGAAUGUGUCGUGUAGCGGUGAAAUGCUUAGAUAUGACACAGAACACCGAUUGCGAAGGCAGCUCACUAAAGUGUAACUGACGCUGAGGAACGAAAGCGUGGGGAGCGAACAGGAUUAGAUACCCUGGUAGUCCACGCCGUAAACGAUGAUUACUCGAUAUUGGCGAUAUACAGUCAGUGUCCAAGCGAAAGCGAUAA